rnacentral:misc_RNA from 1 species
UGCUGAAGCUUACCUCGUUGGUCUGUUUGAAGAUACGAAUCUCUGCGCCAUUCAUGCUAAGCGUGUCACCAUAAUGCCGAAAGAUAUCCAACUUGCUAGAAGAAUCCGCGGUGAAAGAGCUUAACCAGCAUCCAUCUAAAGAUUAGACUAUGCAUCAAUAUAAUUUUUUUUCUUCUUUUUUUUACAUUCGAAUUGCAAUCGAUGUGUAAAUUGUGCUUUGCAAUCUUACUUUUACUUUCGAGUCAAACUACUUUGUUUGUCGAUGAUCAUUAGUGAAAUGAAAUUCAAUUUGCG